UACAGAGGGUGCAAGCGUUGUUCGGAAUUACUGGGCGUAAAGGGCGUGCAGGCGGCUUGUCAAGUCAGAUGUGAAAUCCCACGGCUCAACCGUGGAAGCGCAUUUGAAACUGGCAGGCUUGAGUACCAGAGGGGAAAGUGGAAUUCCCGGCGUAGAGGUGAAAUUCGUAGAUAUCGGGAGGAAUACCGGUGGCGAAGGCGACUUUCUGGCUGGAUACUGACGCUGAGACGCGAAAGCGCGGGGAGCAAACAGG
rnacentral:rRNA from 1 species